rnacentral:rRNA from 1 species
CAGUAGCCGCGGUAAUACGAAGGGUGCAAGCGUUAAUCGGAAUUACUGGGCGUAAAGCGUGCGUAGGCGGUUUGUUAAGUCUGUUGUGAAAGCCCCGGGCUCAGCCUGGGAAUGGCAAUGGAUACUGGCGAGCUAGAGUGUGUCAGAGGAUGGUGGAAUUCCCGGUGUAGCGGUGAAAUGCGUAGAGAUCGGGAGGAACAUCAGUGGCGAAGGCGGCCAUCUGGGACAACACUGACGCUGAGGCACGAAAGCGUGGGGAGCAAACAGGAUUAGAUACCCGAGUAUCCCUGUCUCUUAUACA